UUCACUUUCAGGUUGCAAGCAGGAACAACAACAACACACAUGUCAUGAUCUAACUCUCUGUCAGUCUAUAUCACAGGUAAGUAUAAUAAUACUGACACCUAGUGGUUAGUUUCUAUAUAUACAACUAUACUAUCACUACAUCCCCUUUCCAUUAGACAUAAAGAACAAGUUAUUACAACUAAUGACUUCUAGAUUAUCUAACCACUAAGUAAGCACUGUACACAUUAAACAGGAUGUAUAGUAUCAAAUAACAAUCUCCAGAAUUAUUUGCUUUACAAAUCACAGUAACAAUAAUCAGCUGAUUACAUUUUAUUUUAUCUUUUAAUUCAUGAAAUGCUAAUGCUUCUGAUCUGUUUAAGCAAUAUUCAGAGGUUCAGUCUAUCAGGAGGCUUUAUGUGUGAUUGGAUCUUCUCAGCACAGGUGAAUGCAUUUCUUUAUCUUUGCUCAUUGUGAUGCAGUACUGGAAGUGUUUCAGAUGUCGUCACCUGUAUGUGUAUUCUCUACUGUCUCUUUUGUUUUUAACAGACUUCUCCGGUUUCUCCUCAGGAUCUGACCAUCUUCUGUCCUUGGCUUCACCUCCUCCAGGACUGUGGCUCUUUUACUCCAGGUAUUGAAAUCCUCAAGUCUUACCGUGUCAUUAUUGGAGAGUGGUUCUAGGCUUUUUGAUGCCUUGUCAUAGUUUGCUUUUUGUCUCAGUUUCAGGUGCUUUUGUUUUCUUUUCAGGUACGUUCUCUUGUUUUGUGUUGGUUUGUAAUCUGCGCCCCAUCAGUAUUUCAGCAGGAGACACACCGUGUUGUAGUGGAGAAGCACGGUAAUUCAGCAGAGAUAAAUAAGGAUCUGAUUGACUGUCCACUGCUUUCUUGAGUAGUAGUUUCACAAUGUGAACUCCUUUCUCUGCCUUUCCGUUUGACUGCGGAUAUAUUGGGCUGGAUGUCACGCGUUGACCUAGCAUGGCCCAUUAUCACUGCUAACCACCUGCGGAUGCCGUGUCUCGAAAGAUGGAUUUCAUGUGUGUUAUCACACAAGCAGAAGGAUAGCAACGCAAUCUCUGGGUUAUUUGACAGAUAGUCUAUCACCAGCAAAUAGUUUCUCUUCCGUUCAGAAAGAAUAAGUCAGUCCCAACUUUCUGCCAUGGUUCAUCCGGUGGAUCAGUGAUGAUCAUUGGCUCCUUUUGUUGUUAGCAUGAUGCUUCAAGCACGUAUCACAGGUUGACACCAUCUUGUCGAUGUCUGCAUUUAUUCCGGGCCAGUAGAUUGCAGUUCUAACCCUUUUUUUACAUUUCUCGGCUCCAGGGUGUUUUUUUUAACAUCUCCUGUCGCAGUGACCGAGGGAUAAUGAUCCUGUCUUUUCUCAGCAGAAAUCCCUUAACGACACUCAACUCUGUUCUGAUGUUGUAGUACUGAGCACAUUUUCCUCUAGGCCAACCUUCAUACAGAUGUUUGAUGACCAAUUGCAGACAUGUAUCUUUUCCAGUCUCCACUGCAAUCUGUUUGAGUUUUGUGUGUGUGACUGGAAGAGCUUCAGCUACCAUGUUCACACGCUCACAUCAGCCUCUGUUCCACAGAUCUGGACAGAACUAGAUGCUUCCCUUGACUGUACAUUAGCUCCAUAUCAUACCUCUGCAGUCGCAUCAUCAGUCGCUGGAUUCUUGGAGACAUUUGGUUCAAGUUAUUUUUAAUGAUGGCAAUUAAUGGUUUGUGAUCUGUCUCUGCCACAAAUGUCGGUAAGCCGUACACAUAGCGGUGAAAUUUCUCCAAUCCAUACACUAAGCCCAGACACUCUUUUUCAAUCUGUGCAUAGUGACGUUCCGUCGGAGUCAUCGUUCUCGAGGCAUAUGCGACCGGCCUCCAAUUCUCUCCAUCCGCCUGCAGUAGAACUGCACCCAUUCCUUCUUUGGAUGCAUCCGUCGAGAUCUUUGUCUUCUUUGUCGGGUCAAAGAACGUCAGAACAGGCUCGGUGGUGAGGAGAGUCUUCAGUCGUCCUCAUUCUUGUUCAUGAUCAGCUGUCCAUCUGAACUCGCCUUUAUCGACAACAGUUCUCUCAAAUAAACAGUUUUUGAAGACAGAUUUGGUAUGAACUUCCCGACGAAAUUGAUCAUCCCCAUCACUCUCAAUACAGCUUUUCUGUCUGUGGGUCUGGGCAUUUUGAGUAUUGCUUGUAUUUUACUCUUAUUUUAACUACUGGCUGUGCAUCUUUUUUCAACUGUAUUUUGUAGGUGAAUGGUAAUACUCCAAACCCUUCAAAGAUGUCUGGAAACUGUUUCACGAUUUGUUUCCCACUGUUCUGUGUUUCUCCAUUAUUUAUGAUGCAUAUUCUUCUUACCAGACCCAGAUCUUCACAUGCCUUAUCUCCCAACACAGAAUCAUGGCCAUCUGGAACAACCACAAACAUGAGGUAAUGUUCUCUGUUUUUAACCUUUACUCUGAGAGUACAUGCUCCUUUUGUUGGAAUGUUCUGCCCGUUAUAGGCUUUGAGUUGCACAGUUUUCUGACUUAUGCACAGUUUUCUGACUGAUUUUCAUUGCUCUGACAUCAUACUCUGAAAUCAGAUUGACUUUUGCUCCUGUUUUGCACACGCUCUCUUUGACUUUGUCCACCUCUUGAAAAGCAUUGUUUUGCAAAAUGAUUCUGCCCUUUGCAUUUAGCACAGACUUUGCCAUAAGCUGGGCACUGCUUUGGCAGGUGUCUUUUGCCACAUCUCUUACAGUUAAACAGUUCUUUCUGCUGUUUCAGUUUACUCAUUCCCCUUUUCUGCAUCUUCUCUGUUACUGCAGCUAUGGCUGAACUGUCACUCCCGCUCAUCUUUGUGUUCACUAAGGGUUUUAUGCUGAAUAGCUAUCUCACUGGCAUGACAUAUCCGCACUGCUUCAUUUAAGGUUAGCUCUGUCUCUCUCAAAAGCCUCUCUCUCACUUUUGUAUCAUUGAUGCCGAACACAAUUUGGUCAGGGACCAUUGAAUCUUGCAACAGUCCGAAAUUGCAUGUUUUAGCUUUCAACUUUAAAUCAAUUAAGAAACUGUCAAACGUUUCUCAUUGUUGUUGUAGACGAGAGCGAAAAACAUACCUCUCAAAAGUCUCAUUUUUCUUGGUGUGCAGUGCACAUCAAACUUUUCCAUCACCACGUCAUAUUUGCCUUUUUCCUCGGCCUGUGCAAACACGAGUGUGUUAAACACUUCUAUUGACUGAGGUCCCGCGACGGUGAGAAGCAAUGCAAUCUUGCGUGCAUCCGAUGCUUCAUCCGAGCCCACUGCUUGCAAGUACACUUUCCAUGACGAGCGUCCACUCCUGGUACCAUGUAAUGUUUCUUAUUUCAAUGAAGAAACUGUUUGUAAUUAAACUUCUCUUUUAAUUCACUUUCAGGUUGCAAGCAGGAACAGCAACAACACACAUGUCAUGAUCUAACUCUCUGUCAGUCUAUAUCACAGAGGAAACAUCCAAGAACUUUAUCGAUGCAAGACACAACAUCGAGUCGGAUGUGAUGGAAGAUGCAUCAGGGCCUAGCGUGUCACAGAAACACGUGAACCAACUGGUGUUCAACUGUGCUUUUUAUUUUUGGAGCAGCCAUUCUUCAAAAAAUUGUUUGAGGCGAUCAGUGGCGGGAAGAAAGUAAUGUGCUGAAAAACUCUGAUCUGUCAUCUCCAAGAUUAUUAAUGUGGACACUGUCUGCAUGACAGCAGACAUUUGGUCAGCACAAAACCACAGUUUCUUCGGGGUCACAUGCCAUUGGAUGGACAGAGACACACUGGAGAGACGUUCUGCAUCAUUGGCAUGUACACGUCUCAAAGGUCGACACACCUAUGAUGCAGUUGCAGCAAGACUAAAUGAAAUCCAAGCUGAAUACAGGAUUCAAGAUGAAGCCAAAUCCACUGUGGCAGACAAUGGAAGUAAUUUUGAGUCGGAUGAUUGGGGUGGUGUUGGCGCAGUGGAU